CUGCAGAGGGGCUGCCCAACAAAGACGCUUCCUGACAACAGACCUCUCCUCUGACCACUUUCUUGUCUCGGAGACCAAUGGGGGCCUUCUCCCAGCAUCGCCUCCAAAAAUGGGCUAGGGGUAAGGUUAGGGUUGGGAGAAAGACAAAGCCUAGAGGCACUGCUGGACCAGGUCUGCAGAGGGGCUGCUCAGCAAAGGUGUUUCCUGCCAACAGACCUCUCCUUCGACCACUUCCUCAUCUCACACACCAAUGGGGUCCCAUCUCCCAGCAUCAGCUCCAAAAAUGGGCUAGGGGUAGGGUUAGAGUUGGGAGAAAGAGAAAGCCUAGCAGCACCACUGGACUGGGUCUUCAGCGGGGCUGCCCAACAAAGGUGUUCCCUGCCAACAGACCUCUCCUGGGACCACUUUAUUGUCUCACACACCAGCAUCAGUUCCAAAAAUGGGCUAGGGGUAGGGGUGGGGCUGGGAGAAAGACAAAGCCAACAGGUUCUGCUGGAUGGAGUCUGCAGAGGGGCUUCCCAAUGAAGAUGUUUCCUGACAACAGACCUCUCCUCCGACCACUUUCUCAUCUCACACAGCAACAGGGGGCCUUCUCCCAGCAUCGCCUCCAAAAAUGGUCUAGGGUUAGGGUUAGGAUUAGAGUCGGGAGAAAGACAAAGCCUGCAGGUGCUGCUGGAUGGCGUCUGCAGAGGGGCUACCCAAGGAAGACGUUUCCUGCCAACAGACCUCUCCUCCAACCACUUUCUCAUCUCACACAGCAACAGGGGGCCUUCUCCCAGCAUCGCCUCCAAAAGUGGGCUAGGGGUAGUGUUAGGGUUGGGAGAAAGAGAAAGCCUAGAGGCACCACUGGACUGGGUCUGCAGAGGGGCUGCCCAAGCAUGGUGUUCCCUGCCUGCAGACUUCUCCUCCAACCACUUUCUCAUCUCACACACCAAUGGAGAGCCUUCUCCCAGCAUCGCCUCCAAAAUGGGCUAGGGUUAGGGUUAGAGUUGAGAGAAAGACAAAGCCUAGAGGCACCGCUAGACUGGGUCUGCAGAGGGGCUGCCCAAGCAUGGUGUUCCCUUCCAACAGACCUCUCCUCCAACCACUUUCUCAUCUCAGACACCAAUGGGGGACCUUCUCCCAGCAUGCACCUCAAAAAUGGGCUAGGGCUAGGGUUUGGAUUGGGAGAAAGAGAAAUCCUAGAGGCACUGCUGGACAGGGUCUGCAGAGGGGCUGCCCAACAAAGGUGUUCCCUUCCAACAGACCUCUCCUGGGACCACUGCCUAUGUCUCAGUAGGUUUUGGGGUUCAGCCCUCAAGCUGGGUGUCUAUCCUAGCAUUUCUCCCCAGUAAAAUUCAGCAAGAGACAUGAGAAAUCUGAGGGAAUUUAAAUCCAGGACUUCACUACUUGAGGGGCAUUCUCAUUGACAGACUAUGAUCUUGGUCUUCAUACUCUCUCUCUUGUCUUCUAAAUGUUUCUUUAACAUACAGUUUCCCAUCUGCAGGAGCAGAAAGUGCAGAGUCCACUUCCAAUCUUUUUUCUGAUGGCCUUUUCUUGCUGAAAAUGUGAAUUUGAUUUUCCCCUGACUGAGGAAGCUAUACAACCUAGAUCCCCUACUUCAGGGCAACUGCUCUUACUACAAUGCUUUAUGAAAAGGUGAAGACUGAACUUUGGAAAGGAGAUGGGAAAUGGAAAAUACAGUGCAGAUAAGGAUCUCCUCACCUGGAAGUGCCAUCUUUAAGAAGUACAGCCCACCGUCUUUGUCUUCAGAGCUGAACUUUAGCUGAUUUUUUUUCCCACUUCCACAGGCUCUCUACAGUAAUGUUACAGUAAUGAGUUUAAAUUUUGUUCUGUAAACUUACUCUUAAAAUGUAAUUUAGACUUAAUUUGGAAAUUUAAACUUUCACUUAUACUUUGUAACUUCUGUUGCUUGAACAUUUAACUAAAGACAUUGCAAAACUUCCAUUUGUAUGUUUAAGAUCAUGCUGAAGUUCUAAAAUUAUUAAAUAAGUGCUUGAAUUUGAA